GGCGGCUAACACAUGCAAGUCGAGCGGUAACAAUAGAGUAGCUUGCUACUCUGCUGACGAGCGGCGGACGGGUGAGUCAAUGCUUGGGAAUGUACCUUAUGGUGGGGGACAACAGUUGGAAACGACUGCUAAUACCGCAUAAUGUCUUCGGACCAAAGCGGGGGACCUUCGGGCCUCGCGCCAUAAGAUCAGCCCAAGUGGGAUUAGCUAGUUGGUGAGGUAAUGGCUCACCAAGGCGACGAUCCCUAGCUGGUUUGAGAGGAUGAUCAGCCACACUGGGACUGAGACACGGCCCAGACUCCUACGGGAGGCAGCAGUGGGGAAUAUUGCACAAUGGGCGCAAGCCUGAUGCAGCCAUGCCGCGUGUGUGAAGAAGGCCUUCGGGUUGUAAAGCACUUUCAGUAAGGAGGAAAGGUUGGAUGUUAAUAGCAUUCAGCUGUGACGUUACUUACAGAAGAAGCACCGGCUAACUCCGUGCCAGCAGCCGCGGUAA
rnacentral:rRNA from 1 species